rnacentral:lncRNA from 1 species
CACUUACUAGCUGUGUCCAGAGUUACACACUUAGAAGCGGUAGAAGUAGAGUUCAGAGUCGCAUUUCUCUGCCUUUAGAGGUUAUGCACAUAGCUGCUGGGUCACUCUUAAUCAUGAGUUUGCUUUUGAAUAAAUUACAGAGAUUUCAAAGUCUCAGUUUCUAAUUGUUAAAGAAGAAUAAUCAUGGUACCCAUCUUUAGGCUGCUUGGGAGAAAUGAAUGAGAAUAUCUAUGUAAUGCUAAGAACAGAGUUGGCUUAAAGUAAAGCAGUAAUAGAACUGCUUGAUUUAUUAUUGUUGUUGUUAUUAUUAUUAUUAUUAUUACCACCAUUUUCCUUAAUAUUGUAUGGGAGAUAGACUGUUUUCCUUUUCUUGGUUUAGACUGUCAGGAGUACAGGUAAUUAGGAGUGUUGGCCCAUCUGCAGAAGCCAUAUGCUAGGCCACCCUUUAUAUAAUCUUAGGACAUUGACUUUGGAAGGGAUUUUGGAGGUCAGAUAUUCUAACGAGUGAUUACGCAAAGGAGCAGUUUUCGAUGCAGCUUCCAGUUAGAGGGGUUCAGUCAGCUAGAGGCUAUUAGAACCUCUACAGUGACGGAAGGUGGCUGCUUUGAGAGGAACAUGUGAUUGUUUAAAAAUUAUGCACACAUACUUUGUGUUUCUUUUUUAGUUCUGUCCUCUGUAACAUGCAGAAAAUUAAGUUGAAUCCUUUUUCCCUGCUGUUGUCCUUAGUCCUUCAAAGUAUUUGAGCAGACUUACAUUGGCAUUGGUGGUUCUCAAAGUGUGGCCCCAGGAAUCUCUUUCAACUGAGACCUUUUCCUUCAGGAGCCUUUCUUCUCUUCUUUCUUUUAAUCAAAGAAUCCUUGAAAACCCUAAAAGUGUGGGCUAAAAUUUUUGUGUUCCUGUAUGCAUUUUUCUGGAGCAACGUUGGAUAACCUGAAAAUAAGUUGGAGAAUCACUGCCUUAGACACUCUCAUGACCACGGUUUGUCCUGAAUAUGUCUGCAUCUCAAAGGGACAAAAAGUGGUUAAGAACCAUAUGUUUUUCAUUUUCUCAUAAUGGUAGAAAGUGCAGACAAAGGUUAGGAAUUGCGUGGAAAAGAGGAAUCUAAUAGUUAAAGUAGAGAUAGAGUUCACCUGUAUCUACUGAGCCACCACCCUGACAUCUUUGGGAAGUCUUCCAUCUAGUUUGCUUUAUUUCAGACAUAAUAAGGUAUUAAGCAGAAGAGAGAGUUCAGUAAAUUAGUCUUCUCUUAAAAACACUUAGGCUACAGAACGAGGAAUAACUAGUUUGCCCUGUAGUGGAUAAUCACUUUAGCUAAACAUAGCUUAUAUUGUGAUAUAUUCAAAUACACAAAUAUGGUGCUUAACAUAGUUCAAUAUCUCCUUCAAGGUCAUCCGAUUCCCCCCACCCCCCACCUUUUUUUUCCUGCUGUACCAAGUUUUAUGCUCUGCUAUUGAGAAUCUACAGAUAAUACCAUCCCCUCAAAAUGGUCCUUUUGUCAGACUACAAAAUGUUAUGGCAUGGAAAAGCACUAUUGGAAGAGCAGAGCAACAGAUAUUGGCAGAGAAGCUUGUAAAUGUUGCUUUCCUGCGUUAUUUCUAGAUCAUUGUCAGCCCAAAUACAUUGCCUAUGCAAGUUUUGAUAAAAUGCAUGCAGUCAUACAUUUUUUUUUUUACACAACUAUCUUGUUAUUAGUAGCCAAUUGCGUAAUCACAGGUAUGCCCAUAAAUCAUAUAACUUUACAGAAUAUCUAAAAGAAAAAGCAAAAUGGCUCUAAAUAUAUUUUAAGAUUCAGCUGAAGACAUAAUACUAUUAGAGAUGCUAAAAUUUGGACAAAACUCUAUAUUUUCAAACAAUUUAUAUACUUUUAAACUUAAUGAAAUCAUUGAAGGCAUCUGCUGUAGGAAUGACAAAAAGUCUGCAGAAAACUCUUACAAAAACUGAGAAGUUUGCCUAUAUAGUCUAACAGUAUAGCUUGUAACUAUUAGAAAAUAUACAUUGGACUUCUUGCUUUUUUUGUAUCUAUUGCAUUCCCAUACUUAACAGAGGGUAAAGGAACUCUUAGGUGAAGGAGCUCUUAGAGCUGUAAUGGUUACUUCAGUUGAUGAUGGUAAGAAGGAUGUUUUGAGGUAAAGUGGAGAAUUAAGUAAUGAAAGGAUAAAUGUUGAUACUCUUAUAAUGUUUUGUGUUUUCUUUAACAUAGCAAAUGUAAGGUGUCUUGUCUGGAAGUGAACUACCUGCUUCACUGCAAAUUAAAUUGUUUAAGGUCUAUGGAUUUAAUAAGGAGAACUGAGCUUUGCUUGUUUUUUUUUUUUUCCUCUCAAAACUCCCACUUGUGGAUUGGCCUGAAGUGAAAAUUCAUCCAAUAAUGUCCAAACCUUCUCAGUUAGGGUCUGGUACUACAUUAUGCCCAAGUGAGUGUCAAAUAAAUGUUGUCUGAUAAUGAUGAGAAUAUUUUUUUUUAGAAGGAAUUAGGCUUAUGUACCACAUUUCUCACAAUAGUCUCAAGAGUCGUUGGAAAAUAGAAUUCUUAUUUGAACUUGAACUAUUACUCUGUAAUUCUUGUCAAUUACACUAUUAUAAGUUUUAUAUAAAUUUUAAAAAAUGGAUUCAUUUGACAGUGUAAAAUCCUCCUACAUUGGAAUGUAAUAGAACUGAUUUUAACUGGUAUAUUUAAGAAGAAUAACAUGCAUUGAAUUUGAGUGAUAAACUCAAGAAUUUUCCAAAGAUGUGCUGCAUUUAGGCAUUUUAUCAAUUGGGCUCAUUCAGUAUAUAUUUCCUUACUGCAGUUUUUGCUAGGUAGUGGGACAGUUGUCAUUGCAGAGUUAGAGUAUUAGCAUAGCACCUUGAAAAUGUCUCUGUGUGAGAUAUGUGUCAUCUGAAUAUAUGUGGUCUAGAAGUUUCAUUUUCGACUUUAGAAAGCACUAACUGCUAAAUAUUUUCUUAGUUUUUUGUUUUUGUUUUAUUUCUUUUUUGGCUGUGCCUGUGGCAUAUGGAAGUUCCUGGGUCAGGGAUCAAAUCCAAGUUGCAGCUGCCACCUAUGCCACAGCUGUGGCAAGGCUGGAUCCUUAACCCACUGUGCUGUGCUGGGGACUCAAACCCUUGUGGCCUCAGAGACAACACCAGAUCCUUAACUCAUAGUGCCACAAUGGGAACUCCAUUUUCCUAGUUUCUUUUAAAAAAUAAUAACUUCAGGAAAAGAGUAUCACUCAUUCCUUGGGGAUAGGAUGUAUUCUGCUCUGGGAAAUGCUUUGGGAAAAUUACUUGAAAUUCAAGAAAUCUCAAGUGGAACAACUUCAAAAACAUUUUGCUAUAAUAUGUUCUAAAAGGUAAUUAAGUUUUGACAUGUAAAGACAUGUAAAUGUAGCAUUCUAAAAGAAGAGGUGUGGAAGUUUUUUCUUUCAGAGCAGAGUCUCUUAAUAAUUUGUGUUAGUUGAAUAUUUGAAAAAAUAGUCUGGAAUAAAUGCUGAUAUAGUUACCAGAAUUUUUAUUAUUGUCUCACCUUCACAUCAUUAAUGUUAUCUAUCCUCUUCUUUCAGCUGAAUAUGUCAAGUGACCAGAUAGCUGCCAAUCUGCAAGCAGUUAUCAAUGAAGUUUGUAGGCAAAGACCACUGAACUUGGGACCCUUUGUGGUACGUGCUUUCCUUCGAAGUUCAACAAGCGAAGGUUUGUUGAUAAAGAUCGAGCCAUUGUUGCCUAAAGAAGUAGAAGCAAAAGAAAGUGGCACAUUAACUGCUUAAAUGUGUUACAUUGUGAAAUUGUUUUCAGUGAAUCAAGGAGCAACAGAGAAAAUUAGAAAACUUUUAACUUCUGUGUCUGAUGUCUUUUUAUUUCUUGAUCAUCAUACUUGAAAGUGAAUUUUAACGCCGGAAAAUCUUACAGUACUUUCAAACAUAAGAAAAUAAAAUUUUUCUGUGUGUGAACCUACCUUUUAGAUCAUGUUAAAUUUUAUUCCACAGAAUUCAGAUUCUACAUGCUGGUAAUUAUAGCAGUUUCCAGCCUAGUAACUUCCCCUUGAGAGCCAUACCAUCUCAGGGAAAAGUAAGAGCCUCAGUUCCCAUAAGACAGAGAAGAACAGAAUCAUGUCACAAAUACGACUCUUUUCUAAAGAAAAAAUUUGGAAAAUGUUCAUUCUAAAAAUUCUGAAUAUUAUUUGUGAUAGCGCAAAUAUGGAAAAUGACUAAGCCAUUAAACCAGAGAAUGGGAAAUAUUUUUUCCUCUAGGAAUCAAUUUAUAGUAUUUGUAUUUUUCAUAAUAACAAUAUUGUAUAUUUUAAUGGUGCUUUGCAAUAUACAAGGCACCAUGUAUGGUGUUUUUAUGUAUACUUCAUUUGAUCCUGAAAUCCUUUGCUUAAUAGCAAGUUGUCAGUGUUUGUUGAAUGAAUAUGAGGUAGAUAAAACAAUUUAUGGAUGAAGAAUCAGGCUAAGAAGUUCAUGUGCCAGUUUGUAAACUGGUGUUGGUCCUGAAGUGUUUACUGGAAUGUGACAAAAUGAACAAAAAAAUAAGGAUAAUUUUGGCAUGCAGGUGUCAACUGUCCUUUCUUGGGAAUGAUUUCCUUUACUCUCAGACUCUCUUCCAGUUUUUUUAGGGGAUGUUAAAGGGCUUCUUAUAUGAAAUAAAAGUGCUGAUAAAUUUGUUGGUGGGUUUUACUAACCCUCACUUUGUAAAGAAUAUCUUGACAGCUCCAUGUAGGUCUCCCAAUUGUUUUUGAAAUUUUAGUGGUCUGAGAAGUCCAAAUGACUGUGAACAACCAUUGUACUCCACCAAGCUUUUUUCCCCUCAGGAGAAUUAAAUUUUAAAGGCCGUUUACUAAAAGUAACUGUAACAUUAACUGCAAAACAGCAGCUACCUUCUUUGGAGUACCUACCACUAUGCUUUAUAUGCAUCCUCUCAUUUCGUCCUUCCAGGAGUUCAGGGAGGAGGGAGGUACUCCAUGUUAUAGAUAAGGAGAGGCGGGCGGCACUCUUCAUUUCAUAGAUAAGGAAAUUGAAACAUGUGUGGGGUCCCAUACCUGGCAGACGAAGAUUCAAACCCACGUUUGUCUGAUUUUAAAGCCUGUUCUCGUAACCAUAAGGCUAUUUUACCUCCUUUUAAUCUAUUCUAAAAUGGAUUAAAUUGUUUGAUCAAUUUUAGGUUUUUAAAAUACUGAGUAAUUAUACUUCCGUUUCUUGGUUUGUCUAGUUUACAGGGUUCUGGCACAGUUGAUGAGAAGAAAGUAGAAGUAAGAGGGUUGGAGGAGGGGGAAGAGAAAAGAGCAGGGCAGGAUGGAGAGGAAAGGUAUCCACUUGUUUCUCACAAUUGCAGUUGUCGGAAGGUGUACCGAUUGAAAGAUCCUAGUUCACAGAGUAGAAGCCCUACUGUUGUAUGUGUAGGUUUUCUUCUGACUAAUAGAGUAGCUAUAGUAUUAUUGAAAAUUUUAGAAAUGCUAAUAAAUAUUAAGAAAUAUAUCACUCAGAAUAUUAUCCUGAUAAGCAGUAUUAAUAUUUUGGUGCUUUCCAUUGUCUUUUUCAAUUGACAGAGAGACAGAGAGAGACAGAGAAACAGAGGGAACAUGCACACACAUGAUGUUAUAAAGUAAGCAUUUCCCCAUAUUAUUUAAAAUCUUAUAUGAAAAGCAUCAUUUUACUAGCUGAGCAAUAUUUCAUCCUGUUGAUGCUCUAAUUUAUGGAGUCAUUUCCCAGUUUGGGGGCAUUUAACUUGCUUUCAGGCCCCCCCUCUACCGUUAUUAUUUACAAUGCUUUGGAGAAAAUCUUUGAGCAUCACUUAUUUUCCUCUAUAUUUCUAGAAGUGACAUUCUUGAGUUAAAGGUGUGAUAUGGCUAAGGGUCUUAAUUUUGUCUUAGAAAGGUGCCUUUUUGAGCAGAACAAGCCAGAACAAGAAAUAUGGUUGGAAAACUUGCUCUGGGCGAGAACAUUCCAGGGUCUUAUUAACUGGCCUAUGAAUAAAUUAUUCCCUAAUCUUCCCUUAGAGCAUUUUUCCUAUUGGCUACCUAGAACUAAUGUUGAAUGUUCAUCCUGGUGUGCUUCUGGAAAAAUAGAAGAAUCACUCUAGGCUACUCUUCACUUAAAUCUCUUUCUCUUUUGUAUUGUUAAUGUAUUUGCUUUUUUGUUAGAAAAUAAAUUAAAAGCUUAUAUAUAAAAAGAGUAAAAUGUUUUUAAAAUGCAUGGUAAAUACUACUGAUUCCCAAAUGUUAGCCUGCAUGCAAAUCACCUUGUGAGCACAAAUUGCCUGGCACCAGUCAGUGAUCUGAGGUGGACCGUGAAAAUUUACAUUUCUAACAAAUUCCUUUUGCCAAACCCAGGUUUGUAUGCCUGGUACAUGGUGAGGCCAAACAAACCAAAAUAUUGGAGUUUGGAGCAGAGAAAACUUUAUUGCAAGGGCUGAGCGAGGAGAACAGGCUGCUGGUGCUCAAAAAGCCUAAACGCUCCCAAGGUUUUCAGGGAAGAGUUUUUAUUGGGCAAAACGUGCAAGGAGGACUGUAAAGUAUGUGACCUUCCCCUCACUGGUUGGUGGAGAGAUAACAGUAAUAACGCUCCAGGAAUCUCAGUCCUUAGCCUUCUGGUCCAGCCAGUCUGGGAUCCAGGGAUUGUGCUCUGCCUGCAGUUACCGUCCUCCACCUGGGUGGGAGUAUCCCUUGAGGGGGAACCAGGACCCUGCAGUCUUCUUUUUUGACUGCUUUUUCUUUGUUUCUGCAUCCCCUUGCUCUUCUAAUUAGAAACUGAACCUGCCCUUUGGAAUUUGGGGAAGGUCUCAAAGGCCAAAGCCUUUUCCCUACAACAAGGAAGCGGGGGGCACGGACAGGCUUUGGUACUCUGGAGGGCCCCCAGAGUCCUGCUUGGGUUCAUUCCCAGGUGAUGAUGGUGUUACUGGUCCAUGGAUGAUACUUUGAGAACCACUGUUAUUUACUAAUGAAUCUUUUAACCUUGGAUAAAAAGAUCUCUAGCUUUGUUAUCAGCAUCAGUUUAUUUUAAAAUUCAGCAGGUAAUUCUGAUGUAGCAGGGUUGAGAAUCACCAGUAUAUGCAAUUAGCCAAAUUAUAAAAGAAAAAGUUUUUAAUAAAAGUCAAGAUUCUAAAAGAAUGAUAUGAAAAAAAAAAAAA